rnacentral:rRNA from 1 species
CCUACGGGAGGCAGCAGUGGGGAAUUUUGGACAAUGGGCGCAAGCCUGAUCCAGCCAUGCCGCGUGAGUGAAGAAGGCCUUCGGGUUGUAAAGCUCUGUCGGGUGGGAAGAUGUGGUCCGGCUAAUCACCGGAUUGUGACGGUACCAUCAAAGGAAGCACCGGCUAACUCCGUGCCAGCAGCCGCGGUAAUA